UGUGGUAAACCACGGAAAUGACAUCCACUCUCCAGUUCUUUUCACUGCUGCUGCUGCUGCACGCUUUGCGAAGGCCCGCCACGCCACUCUUGUCAGCAGACGAGGUCAGCAGCGAGUCAAAGUGACUCCAGUCGACAGAUCGACAGAUUUCGAUGGAACGAAACGCUGCAUCGCUGUGGUUUUGCAGAACCUUGCCGAGUUGUGUAACUGUGGUACAACACUGUGAGUAUUUCUGAAUCAAAAUGGAUAGGACGUCCCUCACUGUCAACGGCAGCCAAUGGGAACAAAAAGAUGAAGAAUGAGAAGAACCACAAGGGAGUGAAAUUGCCGGCCGCGUCCACUCGAAUGUUUCCAUAAGACCUCACCGGUGGAAGUGGGAGCGUCACGGAGCUAAUGCUGCCUGCCUGCUGAACCGUGAGGGCGGAUCCUUGCAGGAGGAUGGGAGGGAGGACGACAUUUACUACAGCAAGCCUGUAAUUAUAUGGGCAUCUGCCAGAUAGCUACAGCGCCACUGUGGAUUGGACGCUCAGGUUUCAUUUCCAUUUUUUUACUCAGACAGAAUCGGAGGUGUUUGUUAUUCAUGAUGAGCCCUUUUUAGUAGUUUUGCAGAUUUCCUUUCAGACUGGAACUUAAUGUUGCGAAUAAUGACGCAUACAGAA